UUUCUUUGCUGGCGACCGGCGCACGGGUGAGUAACACGUAUCCAACCUGCCCUUUACUCGGGGAUAGCCUUUCGAAAGAAAGAUUAAUACCCGAUAGCAUAAUGAUUCCGCAUGGUUUCAUUAUUAAAGGAUUCCGGUAAAGGAUGGGGAUGCGUCCCAUUAGGUUGUUGGUGAGGUAACGGCUCACCAAGCCUUCGAUGGAUAGGGGUUCUGAGAGGAAGGUCCCCCACAUUGGAACUGAGACACGGUCCAA
rnacentral:rRNA from 1 species